UUUCCGUAGGUGAACCUCCGGAAGGAUCAUUACCUAGAGUUUGUAGACUUCGGUCUGCUACCUCUUACCCAUGUCUUUUGAGUACCUUCGUUUCCUCGGCGGGUCCGCCCGCCGAUUGGACAACAUUCAAAUCCUUUGCAGUUGAAAUCAGCGUCUGAAAAAACAUAAUAGUUACAACUUUCAACAACGGAUCUCUUGGUUCUG
rnacentral:misc_RNA from 1 species